UACGUAGGGGGCAAGCGUUGUCCGGAAUCAUUGGGCGUAAAGCGUGCGUAGGCGGUUCGUUGUGUCUGUGGUGAAAGCCCCGGGCUUAACCUGGGAAUGGCCAUGGAAACUGGCGAGCUGGAGUGUGGCAGAGGGGGGUGGAAUUCCGCGUGUAGCAGUGAAAUGCGUAGAGAUGCGGAGGAACACCGAUGGCGAAGGCAGCCCCCUGGGCUAACACUGACGCUGAGGCACGAAAGCGUGGGGAGCAAACAGG
rnacentral:rRNA from 1 species